rnacentral:ncRNA from 1 species
AACUAUGGGAGAAGAGUUACUAACUGGGCUCAGCUGCAGAGGUCACAUCUCUUCAUGGUCCCGCUGGUAAACCCUAAUGGGUGACAAAGUUGACCUCUGCCCCAACAAAAGGAGGGACUUUGUCUCCUCCCUAUUGGAUGGCCUCACCACCCAUCCAGUAGCAUUACCGGUGAAACACACUCAGACGAUAACACAUUACUGCCCAAGCCAAGCCCACGGCAGGUAGGGUUGGACACAGGCGGAUAGCCCCAACAACACACCCUCAUAACGUACCAGACUUGACUGAGAUGGGCAGGCUGCGGCGUCCCAGAUGUGCUUCGGUCAGCACCCAGUGAGGGCCUUCGGGCCUGGACUACCCAGGUCUACUGCACCAUCCCAGAGCACGGUGUUGCAGAAUAAUUUGGGACUCUUGUGGGCCUUACAAGAAAGUGGUGAGCUACGUGUCAGAAUGGACUCUGCCAACAUCAGCUGUUUUUCGCAUAUACGGGGAGCGCGGAUGUUGUUAUAAUGUUCAUGUUUGCAGGAAUGUGGGUUUGUUAAUAUAAUGGUUGUCUGGAAAAGUAGGGACAACAAUGGGACUCGUGAUGGUUGUAGUCUCAUGACGUGUUGCCUGCCGAUAUCCCGUACCGGUGAUGACUUUCAGGUGGAUGAGCCACCUCUACUUAACUUGGAAAGUAACAUGCAAACAUUUGAUAAACAGGCAAAUGCUUGGUCAUCUAAUUAGUGAAGCACAUGAAUGGAUGAACAAGAUUCCCACUGUCCCUACCUACUACCCAGCAAAACCACAGCCAAGGGAACAGGCUUGGUGGAAUCAGCAGGGAAAGAAGGCCCUGUUGAGCUUGACUCUGGUCUGGCGCUGUGAAGAGGCACGAGAGGUGCAGAAUAAGUGGGAGGCCGGGCGCGUGCUCG